GUGCCCACUUCGGCAGCACAUGCACUAAAAGUGGAACAAUACAGAGAAGAUUCGCAUGGCCGCUGUGCAAGGAUGACAGGCAAAUUCAUCGCGCUCUCCACAAAAAC